CGACGACUGAGCCUCGCGUUUGGAUUUUCGAUCCCUGGGGCCAUAAAUCAUCUCUCGGGAGCUGCCUCUGGCCGGAUCGUGGUCCGGUUAUUCGCGGCGCCCACCUGCAUUGCAGGUCACAGAGGAUGAAGCUACCGACGGUUGUUUUGGUCGUCGC
rnacentral:other from 2 species